GAUGAAUGCUGGCGGCGUGCCUAACACAUGCAAGUCGAGCGGCAGCGAGGGGUGCUUGCUCCCUGUCUGCGAGCGGCGGACGGCUGAGUAACGCGUGGGAAUCUACCCUAAAGUGAGGGAUAACCGCCCGAACGGGUGGCUAAUACCGCAUAUGAUCUUCGGAUUAAAGGAUUUAUCCGCUUUAGGAAGAGCCCGCGUUAGAUUAGGGAGCUGGUAGGGUAAUGGCCUACCAAGCCAACGAUCUAUAGCUGGUCUGAGAGGAUGAUCAGCCAGACUGGAACUGAGACACGGUCCAGACUCCUACGGGAGGCAGCACUGAGGAAUCUUCCACAAUGGGCGAAAGCUUGAUGGAGCAACGCCGCGUGAAGGAUGAACGCCUUCGGGUUGUAAACUUCUUUUAUGAUUGAAGAAUAUGACUGUAACUCAUGAAUAAUCGCCGGCUAACUACCUUGCCACCACCCGUGGUCCUUCCCAUGACGCAAGCAUUAUCCUGCAUGACUGGGCCCCAAAGAAUUUGCGUAGGCGGUUUAUAAGUGAAUAGUGAAACCUGGUGGCUCUUCCAUACAGACUAUUAUUCAAACUGUUAAACUCGAGAGUGGUAGAGGUAACUGGAAUUUCUAGUGUAGGAGUGAAAUCCGUAGAUAUUAGAAGGAACACCAAUGGCGUAGGCAGGUUACUGGACCAUUUCUGACGCUAAGGCACGAAAGCGUGGGGAGCGAACUGGAUUAGAUACCCAGGUAGUCCACGCCGUAAACGAUGGAUACUAGCUGUUGGAGGUAUCGACCCCUUCACUAGCGAAGCUAACGCGUUAAGUAUCCCGCCUGUGGAGUACGGCCGCGAGGCUAAAACAUAAAGGAAUUGACGGGGACCCGCACAAGCGUUGGAUCAUGUUCUUUAAUUCGAUGAUAAACGAAGAACCUUACCAGGGGUUAGACAUCCCGAGAAGAUUUACGAAAGUAGAUUGUGCCUUUUGGAACUCGGUGACAGAUGAUGCAUGGCCGUCGUCAGCUCGUGUCGUGAGAUGUUUGGUUAAGUCCAUCAACGAGCGCAACCCUUGUGAAUAGUUGAAUUUUUCUAUUCAGACUGCCCCGGCAACGGGGAGGAAGGAGGGGAUGAUGUCAGGUCAGUAUUUCUCUUACAUCCUGGGCUAGAAACGUGAUACAAUGGCAAGUACAAUGCGCAGCGAAGCCGCGAGGUGAAGCAAAUCGCACCAAAGCUUGUCCCAGUUCGGAUUGGAGGCUGAAACUCGCCUCCAUGAAGUCGGAAUCGCUAGUAAUCGCAGGUCAGCAAACUGCGGUGAAUACGUUCCCGGGUCU
rnacentral:rRNA from 1 species